rnacentral:rRNA from 1 species
CCUACGGGGUGCAGCAGUGGGGAAUAUUGGACAAUGGGGGGAACCCUGAUCCAGCGACGCCGCGUGAGUGAAGAAGUAUUUCGGUAUGUAAAGCUCUAUCAGCAGGGAAGAAAGAAAUGACGGUACCUGACUAAGAAGCCCCGGCUAACUACGUGCCAGCAGCCGCGGUAAUACGUAGGGGGCAGGCGUUAUCCGGAUUUACUGGGUGUAAAGGGAGCGUAGACGGCGAUGCAAGUCUGAAGUGAAAGGCGGGGGCCCAACCCCCGGACUGCUGUGGAAACUGGAUGGCUGGAGUGCAGGGGAGGUAAGUGGAAUUCGUAGUGUAGCGGUGAAAUGCGUAGAUAUUAGGAGGAACACCAGUGGCGAAGGCGGCUUACUGGACUGUAACUGACGUUGAGGCUCGAAAGCGUGGGGAGCAAACAGGAUUAGAUACCCUAGUAGUC